UGGGGAAUAUUGGACAAUGGGGGCAACCCUGCUCCAGCCAUGCCGCGUGUGUGAAGAAGGCCUUUUGGUUGUAAAGCACUUUAAGCAGUGAAGAAGACUCCAUGGUUAAUACCCAUGGACGAUGACAUUAGCUGCAGAAUAAGCACCGGCUAACUCUGUGCCAGCAGCCGCGGUAAUACAGAGGGUGCAAGCGUUAAUCGGACUUACUGGGCGUAAAGCGAGCGUAGGUGGCUUGAUAAGUCAGAUGUGAAAGCCCCGGGCUUAACCUGGGAACGGCAUCUGAUACUGUUAGGCUAGAGUAGGUGAGAGGAAGGUAGAAUUCCAGGUGUAGCGGUGAAAUGCGUAGAGAUCUGGAGGAAUACCGAUGGCGAAGGCAGCCUUCUGGCAUCAUACUGACACUGAGGUUCGAAAGCGUGGGUAGCAAACA
rnacentral:rRNA from 1 species